rnacentral:lncRNA from 1 species
CUUGCUUCCCUUCUUCCCUGAUGCUUCCCUUGGGGUGGGGUGUCUGCAUGCACAGUGGCCUGCCAGCGCUUGGGAGGGGAGUACACACAGUAUGCAGUGUUUACUGGAGUUGUAGGCAUGCUCACUUGAGGCAUUCUUCCCUUAGCCAAAUGUCCGUAGGAGGUCGUAUACCAGUUAAACUAUGCCAUUUUGCCUCCUAAUGCACAUGCGUUGAGCCCAAUCGCUCAACUCCUGAGAGCUUAUCAAGAAGCUACUGAUCAACAGUUUCAGGUUUUUCCUAUCUAUAGGGAGCCUGCCUGUCCCUGGUGCCAGCUGCAAUCAAUUAUUAUUUUAGAGAGACAGUUAACAACCACCUGACCAUCACCUGAUAGCCUGACAGUCCAGGUUGGUGUGGGGGGGUGGAGCUUCUCCUGCCUUGUUCCUGCCUGACUAGCUGCCUACUUUAACAUUUUUAACGAUAAAGAAUGUGAGUUCCAUGAGGAAGAGGGCAGGGAUCUUGAUUUUGUUCCCUGCUGUAUUCCCAAGGUGUAGAAUGAAGACUGACACAUAACCAUGCCUGCUUUCUCUUCACCUUCCACCAUGAUUGGUAGUUUCCUGAGGCCUCCCCAGCCAUGUCCCCUGUACAGCCUGUGGAACUGGGAGCAGCUGCAAAGGAACACCACAAUGAUAUUCCACUGGAAAAAGGGCCAAACCACCUGAUCAUAAGAACAUCUUAUCAAUAUCCUCCUGGGCAGCAAGCCAUACUGCCCAGCUCCCUCCCACCCAUACCUCAGCUGCAACCAGGAUCACCCCCAUUGCUGGACAUCACAUCCAACACUGGGCUUCAAUUCGUGGGGUUCCCAAGGCAUACAGAAUUCCUCAACUUGGCAACAGUCAACUCCAGGAGCCUGUUAUAAGUGCAUCCAACAGGGACACUGAGCAAAAGCCUGGCCUAAUCCCGUGACACUCUGGAAGCCUUGCCCCAUCUGUGAUAUCAAGCAACACUGGAAGUCAGACUGUGCUCAGUGAAACUCUUCAUCUAGCUUCACCACCUGUACCUGAAGACAGGUGGGGCCUAGAGUCCACCACCCCUACUGCCAUCACCACCUCGGAACCCAGGGUAAUUCUGUCAGUCUCUAGUAAGUCCAUGUCUUUCCUAUUGGAUACUCAAUACGACAACUAGUUACUCGGUUUUACCAGAAUAUUCUAGACCCUUUUUCUGUUCUUCGAUCUCUAUUGUGAGAAUCAAUAAAAUCCCCUCUAGGCACAGACUCGUCCUUUAUUAUGCAACCUAUUCAACAGCCCCCUUCACCCACUGUUUCCUGGUUAUCCCUCAGUCCCCUACCCCUAUCUUGGGGUGGGACAUAUUAAGUAAAUUCCAGGCCUCCAUGCAAUGCGGCUCCUACAAUUCUACCCCUUUUAUUUUACUCCGACACCCAAACGCUUCCCUCUCCCCCUACUCAUCCUCAUUAUCCACCCUGUUACCUUCUGUUAAUUCUAAAGCUUGGAAUGUUUCUAAACCCACAAUAGCCACACAUCACAUCCCAGUUAAAAUAACCUUUCAAAACUCCUCCAUUUUCUUUUUUCAGUCUCAAUAUCCCCUUAAUCCAGCCGUGCUUAGGGGCCUCAAACCUAUUAUUUGUAAACUUUAACAAGCUCAUAUUCUCAAGCCUGUUAACUCUCCCCAGAACACCCCUAUUCUGGCUUUCCAAAAGACAGACGGGACUUACCCCUUUGUCCAGGAUCUCCAAGUUGUUGACCAGGCAGUGGUACCAAUACAUCUAGUGGUCCUCAACCAAUAUGCUCUACUCUCCCAUAUUCCUAAAUCUACUACACACUCCUCUGUAUUGGAACUGAAAGAUGCCUAUUUCACCAUUCCCUUAAAUCCGGCUUACAGAAGUCUUUUUGCUUUAACUUGGUCAAGUCCUAAUACUCACAUGUGCACCCAACUAGAGUGGACUGUACUCUUACAGGGGUUCCAGGAUAGCCCCCACCUAUUCAGACUUGCCCUCAUCAAGGACCUAGGUGAACUUUCCCUUGCUGCUAGCACCCUCCUGCAACAUGUCAAACUCCUUCUCUGUAGCCCCUUCCUUAACCUGUCCAUCCAACACACCACUUAGGUUUUAAACUUCCUCCAUAAUAGAGGAAAUCUCAGGUAGCCCAAACCAAAGUUUGGGCCUAGCCCACAAUAUUUCAGGUAGCCCAAACCAAAGUUACUUACCUUGGGUUUGUCCUAACCCCUAAUUCUCGAGCCAUCCCAACCCAAUGAAAGGAGCUAAUUUGGGACAUGCCCUUUCCUCACACAAAAAAGUACCUUCUCUCCUUCUCGGGCCUUGUGGGUUACUUCUGGCUGUCAGUUCCCAAUUUUGACUUGCUGGCCAAGCCACUAAACAGGGCCUCACAUGGGCCCAUCCUAAAACCCCUAAACCCAGCUUGCCCCAUCAACUCCCACUUAAAAACUUAAAAAUGCCCUUUUAAUGGCCCUGGCACAGGGACUGCCCAACCUCACCAAGCCCGUUACUUUGUAUGUACAUUCUGACCAGGGCCUUGCCCUUGGACUACUCUGCCAAACAUACGGCAACGCCACACAAGCCACUGCACUUCUCUCAAAACAACUGGACUCUGUUGUUUUGUGUGACCAAGGCUGGUCACUCUGACUAAAAAUCUUGGCUGUGGCCACAUCGCUGGCCUUAGAGGCACGGAAACUCCCUCUUUACCAACACAUUACUAUUGCAUCUUCCCAUUACCUACAGGACCUCAUAAACCAUCAAUCCCUUCUAUCCCUCCUACCAUCCUGCUUAUAACAGGUACAUGCCUUAUUCCUAGGUAGCCCUCUAAUCCCCUUCCAGAGAUAUAAAACUCUCAACCCAGCCACCCUCCUCCCUGUAAACACUUCCGAUUCUAGGCUCUCUCACUCCUGUCUGGACCUCUUAGACUCCCUCUCCUCCUCCUUCCAACACAUUUCACAUGCCCCUUUGCAGGGAACACAUACACGGUUAGUUAAUGGAAGCUCUUUUAGGGAGCCAUGUCCAGCAGCUGGCUAUUCCAUCAUUGCUGAAAAUAAACUCCUAGAAUCCAAUGCUCUGCCACCCCAUGCUACCUCUCAACAGCCUAAGCUAGUUGCCCUAACCAGGGCCCUCACCCUAGCAAAGGGAAAGAGGGUCAACAUUUACACCCAUUCCAAAUAUGCAUACCAUGUCCUACAGUCUCAUGCCUUCAUCUGGCAGGAACAGGGUUUCCUAACUACAAAAGGAACUCCCAUAAGAAAUGGCAAACUUAUACAUAAGCUGCUGGGGGUGGAUAAACUACCACCAAAGGCCACCAUUAUCCAUUGCAAGGGGUGCCGAAAGUCUAAAGAUGCCAUAACCGAGAGAAACCUUUCAACAAAUUUGGCAGCCUGGCAGGCAGCCCUUAAAACCCCAUCGUUAUUGCUCAUUUUUUCCUGUAUAUACCCAGAAGGAAUGAACCCCACUUGCCCGGGCUGGUGCCAUUCAGGAAAAAAUUGUUUGAUCUCAGUGAUAAAGUGUCUUGUCCAAGUUUAAAAAACCUUCUGUACUUUCAUAUGUGCACAACCAUUUCCAUGCUGCUUACUGCCCCUACUCCAGCUUUUAGAAAAUUAUAUACAUUCUUCUGCCAUGGCUGCCAAUCUGAAAUAUAUUACUAAGGCAUGUUCCCUUUGCACUCAAACUUCCCCUCAGGAAGCUAUCAAACCACCUCCUUUCCAACACACAAGGUCUGAGGACACUUACCAGGGCAGGACUAGCAAAUCAACGUCACUCACAUGUCCCCCAGAAAGUGAUUCCUAUACCUUCUGACAAUAGUAGAUACAUUCUCUGGAUGGAUAAAAGCUUUUCCCACCACCACCGAAAAGGCACAGACCAUUGCUUCUAUUCUCUUCACCCAUAUUAUCCACCGGUUUAAACUCCCCUCUUGCAUCCAGUCAGACAACGGGCCAAUUUGUUUCACAGUUUAACCAACAGCUGGUAAAGGCUGUAAACAUUAAAUUGGCUUUGCAUAUUCCUUACCACCCCGAAUCUUCAGGGAAACUUUUUUAGAAAACAGCAACUGACCAAUCUUCCCUAAAGGUUAAAAUGGCCUGGACUUCACUUCUCCCAUUGUUCCUCAUGCAUUUAUGAGUCAUUUCCCAAAAGCUCCUCAGCCUAAGCCCAUUUAAACUCAUGUACAAAUGCCCUUUUAUCCUCCAGAAUCUCCCUGUAUUUUCCCCCCAUUCUAUAUGGAAUACUUGGCCGGCGUUACACCUCACCCAACAUCUAAUAAGACAGUACACAAAUGCUUACUUGACCCAGCCUAAAAGUCCAUCCUCAAAAUACUCCGCCCUGUCCCUACAACCAGGGGACUGGGUCUGAAUCACAGACUCCUCCUCCUCCCCUUUCCAACCUAAGCGGAAAUGUUCCCACCAGGUUAUCCUAACUACUCCGACUGGGGCAAAGCUAACAUCCUUUCCACACUGAAUACACCAUUCCAAACUAAAAAGAGCACCAGACCCACAUCUAGAAAUUUCCUCACCCCCAUAUUAUUCUCCUUCCCCGACAGGACCAACCUCACUGUACUUAACAAGAAUUCCAGAAGUUGCCAAUCCAGAACACCUUAGUCCAUAACACUCUCUGUCUCCAAUUUCCAAUCUUUUAUCUCCUACUUUAUUUCAGAUCUUUCCUGGCUACCCUUCCCCAUGUCCCUGAAUAGUCCAUGCCAAUUCGUCAUACUAAUCCAGGAGGUAUGACUGCAGGGCACCUUCCAAAAUUUCACUCCUACUCAAAUCUCCUCUUUCUUCUUUUGUCCUCUUUGUCUGUGGGAUACUCUAAGUCCCCACCCCCAACCUCUGACAGUUGAGCCCCCUUCAUCAGCCUCACACCUUUCCUCUUAAAUCAGUCACACUCCCCUCUUCCUUCCAACUGUUAAACUUGUUUGUCCACACAAAUCCAGCAAUUCACAGCCCUUCCUGUCAACCUGGCCACAUGAACUCGGUCCAAAAUAAGCCUGCAUCUCACCUACUUGACCAGUUCAUUCCCAAACCUGUUUAUAAUCUUGAUCAGCUAAACUCUUUUUCCCCCAAUCCAUCAAAUCCACCCACACCAUCACAUACAGGGCUGUCACCCUCCCUCGCCUCAUAGCCUCUUAACUGAAUAUGUUACAAACGGAUUCCAUAAAACACCUUUUAGAAACCCCUCCCCUCUUGGCUGGAGCCGCUCUUCAUAUUAUCCAACUCAAGGGCGCUCGCUGGAAAACAUGCACAAACAAUUCCCUCAAGUGCAACCUAUAUCCUUCUGCCCUGUCAGGGCUACAAUGGCUAUUAGUUACAAAAACCCAUUUCCCCCUCUCUUUCCAAAACCAAACAGCCUCCAUCUCCUCCACCACCAACAUUUCCUAUCAGGCCGUCAGAGGGGCUACCCUUGCUGGCAGCUAUUCAACUUGGAAAAAUAUAAAAGUUAAAACAAAGAAUUUCUGCAGAAUUCAACACCCACCUUCUCAUGGCUUGCCACCAUAACCUACAACUUUUGUCUGUCCACCCCCAGUGUCUUCUUCUUUUGUGCCACAAACUCUUAUCUCUGCCUACUGGCCAAAUGGUCAGGAACAUACACCCUGGUGUUUCAGCCUAAACAUUAACAUUUUGCCUAACAAGCAGACCAUCCAGGUUCCUUUAGUAGCUUCUGUCUCAUCUUCCUCCACACACACUAAGCAGGCUCUACAUCUCAUUCUAGUGUUAGCAGAAGUAAACAUCUCUGCUGCAGUCAGCACUGAGAUAGCAGGGGGCCCCUUUCUUAGGACCCUUAAUUUUCCUCCUCCUAAUACUACAAUUGGCCCAUGUAUAUUUACCUUCAUAUCCCGCUUUAUCUCCCGAAGGCUAAACUCCCCUGUCCAGGCGGCCACCCAGCAACACAUUGAUACCAUCCUUCUCCUCUGCCAAGUCCAGUACCAGUGCCUCCAGGAAAACAACUCUGAAGUCCAACACCCACUGCUUCAAAACCCAAACCCUGAUUACAGCUCCCCUAUUCGGCAGGAAGCAGCCAGAUAAUCAACAAUGCCCCUCUUCCUUUUAUACUAAAGUAGAAGGCAAGAAUGUGAGUCCAAACCACCAUUUAGUAAGCACCCUGCUAUUUUUCAGACCUUGGUCAAAGUGAAACAUUCCACGGGGGUUCGGGCCAUGAGAAAAAUCUUGCCUAAUCGUCGUAACACAAGACGGACAAAGGUCCAACUAAAGAAACUUUCCUAUCAUAUCUUGCUGGGCAAAGUUUCAAGAUACACCACAAUGACAUCCCACUGGAAAAAGGACCAAACAGCCUGAUCAUAAAAACAUCUUAUCAAUAUCCUGCCGGGCAGCAAGCCAUACUGCCCAGGCCCCUCCCACCCCUACCUACAAGCACCCCAGCCUGUAAGCAGCGGUGGGCUCUGGCAUUAAGCGGGUCCCCCACUUCCACAGGUGUCUGCAGUAUUCCUGUGUUGCUGUUUGAGCCACCCCCUCUCUGUGUGUCUUUCUUUCACCCUCACCUUCCCUUCAAAACCUGACAAUCUUACCUCAUCAUUUUUUUUGUUAUUGGAUUCACAGGGGCUCUUCGUCUUCUCCCCAUUGGUGCUGGAAGUUGGCUGUUCCAUGAUUCUGGUUGGUUGUAGAAUGUCUAUAGUAGGCUCCUGUAGACUGCAGACUUCCACAGCUAUGUUGAAGCUUCCCAGUGGGAUGUCCCAGAGCUCUUGCCCUCCCUAUAUAUACCCUCCUGGUGACAAGGCAAAGCCACACCCUUGAGCUUUGUUUGAUCAUACAGGCAGUGUCCCAGCCAAUGGCGGUCCUAAGGUGGCUUUGACAUCACAAAGCCCCACUGCUGACCACUCCUUGGGCUUGUGGGGGAGGGGUGACAGGGAUGUAGAGGAAACCAAAUGCGGUUGUUGUUUCAGCAUCCCCUGAAGAUGCAUCCCAAACCGAUCUGCCGCCGCUCCUCAUUUCUCCAUGUUUAAUGUUCAUGGUUCACAUGGAAGUCAGAGGAUGAUUCCUUCAAGCCCUUCCCCACAGCCAUUCCUAUGAAGUGAUUCAUUCUUUUGUCUUCCAGCCCUCACCAUGACUUAGUAUUUUAGAUGUCUCACCUCAAAUCCCCCAAGCUAGUGUGGCUACAUUUAAUUAUUAGUUAUUAAUUACUAGUUACAUUUAAUAAUUAAUAAUUAAUUAUCCCAUUUCCCUCCUACAGUUCCUUCAUAUGCACCUUGAAGACCAUUUACUUUUAGGCUACUGCCAGGCAAAUUUCAACCCAUGUUAUUUUACUCAAUGUCCGUGUAGUUCUUUUAAAUUUCCUAUUUCCAAUCUGCAAUAAUGGCCUUCAGUCUGUCAAAAUUUUAGUGAAUAAACAUUCUUUACUGUGUAUCCUAGUCUUGUUUCAAAUGAGGGGUGUAUUUUCAUAGUAAAUGUAGUCUCCCAACAUGAAUUCUGCCAGUAUGUGGGUGGGGGAAGGAGUGGAUAUUCAAGUGCUGGAAGUUGUUCUCAGUGUUUACAUGCAGGAUGCUACAAUCUAAGACCCACAUGUGCACCAGUAUGGGCAUAGUUAUACUUUGUACUGAAGAUUGUGUCCAGUGCAAAAAGAAAAAUGCAUUCAGUUUGG